AACAAAUACAGAUAUGCGAUCGAUUUUUCCCUCGGGCUUAAACAAAUAGUUAAAAGAACAUUCAAAAACCAUGGCCACUGCUAAAAGUACCAGAGUCCGUAAAUUGGUGGUUGGCGUCGAGUUCUCCACUUCUCCGAAGGAUUCAUUGACAUCGGUCGUGCUUGACAAAACUCCACAAUAUUUACAAACGACAAACGCAAAUGAGAUCCGUCCACGAGGUCGACGUCUCGCAAAACCCUAAACUCUGUCGCGCGAAGAUCUGAGGAGAAAUCUCGUCGAUCAGAUCGACAUCUCGUAAAACCCUAACCUCGUCCGUCGAUUUCUAUCUUCUACACGAAGAAAACGCAAAAAGUGAGAAAAACGAAGAGACGUUCUCGCGGUCGACCCUGCCGAUGGCGUCCUCCAGUUCUCCGAAGGAGUUAUUGACAUCGGCCGUGCUUGACAAGUCUCGCUUAUUGUUUCAGAACGACAACAGCUGCAAGGAGAAACGCACUUGCCAUCUGUCCACGAGAUCGAUUUCUCGCAAAACCCUAACCCCUGUCUCUAAGGCGCGACUAUUUGAGGAGAAAUCUCAUCGAUCAGUCACACUUUGGGGUCCUCAAGGACGAGGCCUCCCUCCCUCGUGUUCAAACGUUUGAAGAUACAGAUAAAAGUAUCAUAGCCAGUCGUGGAUGAAGCAGAGAAAGAAUAUGAGAUGUAUUGGCAGUCUGGGUGGAUCAGUGAAACUCAUGAAGCAAUGAAGGUAUAUCUAGCACCAUCCGUAUACAAUAUCUAUCCAGAUGCUUCUGAUCCUUUUGUGUUAUUUGUUACACUUUUCAUAUGCAGAGUUUGUCAGAUGCACAGAUCGCCUCAUCUUGUGGUAUGGUUGUAUUAAUUUUCUCUUUCAGAUCUUUGCUACUAUAAUGACUCUCGAAUAUGUGGAAUGUUUUCAAAAUACCUCCACUUUAAAAUGUGUCUGCUUUGAUGAGAUCAACUUUGUUAAGCAUAUUUUUGGGACCUUUUGUUAAACUCGAUCACAUGAUGACCCAUGUUAAAAGCUGACUUCACCUCAAAGACAGCUAAAUCUAAACUGCUGCAUUUGAAGGUUCUUGAAAUAAUGUCAAACCUAUACAUAAUUUUAGAUCUUUUCCUUUGUGCAUAUGUAUUGUCCAUGGUUUCCGGUGGACAAAUUGGUGGCAUAUUAUACCAUUCUUCAUGUUCCUUUAUGAUUAAAUUUGGUUUUAAAGAUUCAGACCAUGCAUUUUUUCCCGUAAUUUUGACCUGUUCCUGGUUGACUAGUUAAGUAUAAAUAAGCUUCAAUCCUUUUGCUUGUAAUAUUAUAUAUUGUUUGUUCUUCAUUCAAUUUUUUCCAAUGUGCAAAUAUCCAUCAAUGUUUUCUUUUGAAGGCACUUUUGAGAAGAAAAUUGAUGGUCCUGGGAAGCAGAACUUCAUCAACUUAGGGUCAUCUUGAGCUAGGUGAAGAUAAAUUUCUUAUGUGAUUCUCAGGAUAUUAUAAGACAUUCCAAAAAUAGCUGCUCGCGUGCUGUGAUUGGAUGUAUUACAGCAGGUCAGUUUAUUGCGCGUUUUAUCAAAAUAAUCUCAGGAAAAUAAGAAACCAAUAAUAACAAAUAUCAAUGCAGAACAAGCACUCGCUCAUGCUUGUACUUACGGAUUUCACAUUUUAUUAGAAUGGAAUGGACGGAUCGUGAAAAUUACACAAAAUUAGAUGUUCAAUCAGGAGGGCCUUCUAGAAUGGUGCAAUUAUACUCUGUAUGACCCAUUAUCUUUUCUUAAUUGGCGUUACGACUAACUGACUUAGGGGGAAUUAGCCUAGCUUUGUGCCCUAAAACUAAUUGAAAGAGUUUGCCCUACUUAUGGGUAGGUCUUGGGCCCCAAUGUCCUAAGCAUUGACGUUUGGAAUAAACACAAUCUAUAUUGGUGGGCCAAAGCCCAUUUUAGAUAGCAAUCCGUUGAAACCGGCGGUCAGUUCAAGAAGUGAUGGGGCCUGCAGUAAAACCAUAGGCCCGAUUUUGAUGGGCGAAACCCAAUUAUAUAUGCCUAUGAAACAACUUAGCGGGCAAGGUCAAGGCUAAUGGGCCUUAGAAUCAAUUGGGCCACCUAAGCAACCCAGGAAGACGCAUUUAUAGGAAAGGAAGACCAAUGGCCAAAGCCAAAGCCCAUUUUAGAUGGCAAUCGUUUAAAAUAGUGAACCUCUACAAACAUUAAUGGGCGGGCCUCGGGCCUAAUUAACUACAUCUUGGGUCAUAUUGUCCCUAGCAGGCCCACUUGCAGAUUCUCACGUACUGGGCCCGCUUUGACGAAUCUACUAAGACGGAUCCAUAGAACAUUGGGCCUAAAGUCCAAUCAAAAUGUGGGCCUCGGUUGGGGCCAUGUUCCUCUGCUAUGCCCAUUUUAACAACAUUGCAGGAUGUUCAUGCCCAACUUCAUAUUGGCCUUCAUGUUCAACUCGUAGAAUUUGGAAAGAACUUGGGCCUCUGGUCAGCUUUCGGGACCUGUAGAAUGUGGACCUGAUGCUGUUGGGCCAUACUUCUCUAACUACAUGGUUCCGCCAAGGGCAACGGCAUAACUUCCACCAGUCGCGGAC